UCUACGGCCAUGCCGCUCCUGCUGCCCCUGCCAUUAUAAACUCCUUUACCUCAGAAACCCUGAGCCAAUGCAAACUUCCUUUUGGAAGUUGCCUUUGGGCACAGUGUUUUAUCACAGAACUGAAAAGUCAUGAAAACCUUCAGGUGCUCUGCAAGCUGCUCUUACACACCUAUUGUGAACCCUCUGAACUGCAAUAAUGACUGAUGUGCUCAUGGGUGCCAUACUAGCAUAUGUUAUGGAGGUAGGUGUGCUGCUGGUGGGAACAGCAGGUGUGGUCAGGCUGGCCUGUGGCCCAGAAACCACCCACCUGAUUGUAGGUCCUUGGUGUGUUUCCAAAUGGAAUUCAUCCUCACUGCUGGGCUGCCUGGUUAAGUACCCAGGGAAGGAAGAAACCAGAGUAAAAGGAAACAAAAGAGAACUGUGAACUGCAGUGUCAAGAAGGCUGGGUGCAGGAUAUGCGGCAUCCCAGCUUCUCCACUGAUGCACCAGGAAGUAAGAGAAGAGAGAUCUACAGACCUCCCAUUUGCCCAGACCAGAGGAGAGCCCAGCCUACAACAGUAGACAAGGUGUUCAUUAACACCAACAAAGAAGCCGGAACCAGAAAGACUCUUCUAGCAUUCGCAGGCUCCAGCAAGGACAUUUUGGGAACUGUUGUUUCGGGGUCUCUGCCCUACCAGAGCAAUUGCUGCCUCCGGUUCUUAACACUAACAGGCUCUUCUAAGGUGGAAAUGUGUUUCUGGAAUCCUGGUCAUGUGAAAUGUAUUGAUGCCGUUCACCCUUUUUUCAUGAUAGAGAAAAAAACUCUUUUGGAGGCAAGGAUAAUUGGUCGAAAAAAAGUUAGUACAGAGCCAGCAAGAUGGCUCAGCUGACAAAAGGCUUUGCUGCACACACCUAAUAAUUACGGGGACCUCCUGAGAAAGGAAACAACAGAACCCUCUAGAAAGUUGUCCUCUGACCUCUACAUGCCCACCAUGGCACAAGUAUGCAUGCACUACAUAGGCACAAACACAAAACUAUUAACUUUUAGUUUAAAAAAAAAAAAAAAGAAAAAAAAGCACAGCUCCUCUACAAUGAAAACAUUUUAAUGAAGUGCUCUCAUAGUGGAGGGCACAAUGGGCUUGAGAGUCUCAGGGAAGAGCAGGCCGGUUCUGGCAGCAGAGUGGCCGGGGACUUGGAGGCACAAAAAAAGGUGGCUAAGAACUCAUGUAUAGCCAAGAUGGACAAAUUGAUGUUGUUUCUCUGUAGUUGCUGUCCUUGAGAGUGAGGUUUUCUAGCUUUAGGGGAUGCCCUGGGGCAGUCAGAAGUAAGGUCCCUUGCAACUCAGUGGUCACCUGGAGAACAGGGGCAGAGUGAGGCAGAGAAGGGGUGACAGGAGAGAAUGUGAGGAGCAGGCAGUGGUCCUCAGGAGAGCUGGUGGUGUCACUGACACCAGAAUGACCUGUCAAGAAGACAUGAAUUGUGCAUGAACCAGAAUGUGACCUUAUUUUAUUGGAGGUGACAGUCUUUCAGGAGGCGUAUCACAUGACAAGCCUUGUUGACUGCAUCCACGAGGUCUCCAACACCCGAUGAAGUGGGUGUUGUGAGCAGACCUUUGUGUUGGAGUUGCAGGUUCAUAUUGCUGGAUGUGUUUGUUUUCACAUAGUAGCCCGGACCUACACAGCUUCCUAAUUUUACAUUUUCUUUUUACUGUGGUUCCUUUUUCUUCUAAUUUUGUCUAUUUGUCAUCUUUUAAAGAUCCAGCUGGGAGUUGUAUUGUUUCCUGUCUCUGCUAUUAUGUAUUGACACCUCAGUGGACUAAGGGGACACAAAUGGACUGCUAGCUCGCAGGAUCCGAAGAGGGUUGUUAAAUGGAGUCAUGAUUAACUGACUGGCUAGUAAGUCAUUCUGGAGGCUCUAGAACUUCCUCACUUUUUCCAGCGCUCUGCUAUUCUUGACUUGAAGCCCUUCCUUCAAGCACAAAGCCAGCUAUGCUUCUUCACACCCCUUCAGAUCCUUGUGAUUACAACAGGUCUGCUUAGGAAGUCCAGGACUGUCUCAAGAUCCUCAGCCAUAUCUGCAAAGUCAUAUGGGCCAUGUGAAGGUGAUGCCAUACAUCCAGUUUAGGAAGAAGGCCAUGUUUUGGAAGGAGCACGUUCUAAAGCACACAGAAGAAUGUGUUUUGGGUUUUUGCCUUCCAAAGACUUCACUGCUGGUUCAGUCAUUUCUAUUGUUUUCCAUGUGUUAAUUUCUGCUUUAAUGUUAAUCUUUUUCCUGGGGCUAAUUUGGAGUUCUUCCUUUUUUCAGUGGAAGGCUUAAUUCAGCUAAUUGUGUUAGCUACUGUGCAACACUCACUGAACCCACUGAUCUUCACAUGGCAUUUUCACAUCUUCUACAUAAUGGCUUCUUUGACCAAUGAAUCACUUAAAUAGCUUUCCAUUUGUCUUAGUAUUCUUCCUAUCCUGGGUUUUAUUUUCUCUACUAUGUAGUUAGAAAGCAUGAAUCACUUGGUUUCUGAAUCACAUAUCUGCGGACACCUGCUUGAGGCUGUACACAGUGUGAGAUGAUGCUGUCUGCAAUCCAAACACAUUUGCUGUGGACUGUUAUUCUAUCUUGGGAUAAGGUAUCAGGUCAUGAAGAGCUUUUCUUCCCUUUUUAAUAGCAGCAUAAUGUUUUACUGCAUGGAUAAACUGUACAGAUUUAAAU